rnacentral:rRNA from 1 species
UACGUAGGGUGCGAGCGUUAAUCGGAAUUACUGGGCGUAAAGGGCGCGUAGGCGGCCUACUAAGUCAGACGUGAAAUCCCCCGGCUUAACCUGGGAACUGCAUCCGAUACUGGAUGGCUUGAAUUCGGGAGAGGGAUGCAGAAUUCCAGGUGUAGCGGUGAAAUGCGUAGAUAAUCUGGAGGAAUACCGGUGGCGAAGGCGGCAUCCUGGACCGACAUUGACGCUGAGGAGCGAAAGCUAGGGGAGCAACAGG